UGGGGAAUAUUGCGCAAUGGGGAAGACCCUGACGCAGCCAUGCCGCGUGAGUGAAGAAGGUCUUCGGAUCGUAAAGCUCUUUCAACGGUGAAGAUGAUGACGGUAGCCGUAGAAGAAGCCCCGGCUAACUUCGUGCCAGCAGCCGCGGUAAUACGAAGGGGGCGAAGCGUUGUUCGGAAUUACUGGGCGUAAAGGGCGUGUAGGCGGUCUAAUCAGUCAGUGGUGAAAGCCCUGGGCUCAACCCAGGAAUUGCCUUUGAUACUGUUAGACUAGAGUUCGGGAGAGGAUAGUGGAAUUCCCCAGUGUAGAGGUGAAAUUCGUAGAUAUUGGGAAGAACACCAGUGGCGAAGGCGGCUAUCUGGACCGAUACUGACGCUGAGGCGCGAAAGCGUGGGGAGCAAACAGGAUUAGAUACCCUGGUAGUCCACGCCGUAAACGAUGUCUGCUAGUCGUUGGGGGGCCGUAGCCCUUCAGUGGACGCCGCUAACGCAUUAAGCAGACCGCCU
rnacentral:rRNA from 1 species